UUCCCUGUGGCUCAGUUGGUAGAGCAUGGUGCAUGCAAUGCCAGGGUUGUGGGUUCGAUUCCCACGGGGGGCA
rnacentral:tRNA from 1 species